AAUGCAAACAAUAAUGACGGCCAUUUUAGCGAUUACUGACUUGCAACGAGAAUUGAAGUGAUGCAUAUGAUAUCCAUAUUAUCCACAAUUAAAUUGAAAAAAUUACAAAAUUGCUUGAGUAAUAUGCAGAGAGCUAGUAUCUCAUCAUGCACACAGCAAAGAACACAUACACAACUGAAUUUAUUUUGCUACCUUGCUUCCAAAGUUCAACAUGGUAG